rnacentral:rRNA from 1 species
UACGAAGGGGGCUAGCGUUGUUCGGAUUUACUGGGCGUAAAGCGCACGUAGGCGGAUUGUUAAGUCAGGGGUGAAAUCCUGGGGCUCAACCGCAGGGCUGCCUUCUAAACUGUCAGGCUUGAGCACGGUAGAGGCAGAUGGAAUUCCCGGUGUAGCGGUGGAAUGCGUAGAGAUCGGGAAGAACAUCAGUGGCGAAGGCGGUCUGCUGGGCCGUUGCUGACGCUGAGGCGCGACAGCGUGGGGAGCAAACAGG